rnacentral:rRNA from 1 species
AUUUGAGUCACAUAGGUUAACAGAGCAAACCGGGGGAACUGAAACAUCUAAGUACCCCGAGGAGAAGAAAUCAACCGAGAUUCCGGUAGUAGCGGCGAGCGAACCUGGAUUAGCCCUUAAGCACUCGGUGAAGUAGGUGAACAAGCUGGAAAGCUUGGCGAUACAGGGUGAUAGCCCCGUAACCGACGCUUCAUCGAGCGUGAAAUCGAGUAGGGCGGGACACGUGAUAUCCUGUCUGAAUAUGGGGGGACCAUCCUCCAAGGCUAAAUACUCCUGACUGACCGAUAGUGAACCAGUACCGUGAGGGAAAGGCGAAAAGAACCCCUGUGAGGGGAGUGAAAUAGAACCUGAAACCGUGUACGUACAAGCAGUAGGAGCACCUUCGUGGUGUGACUGCGUACCUUUUGUAUAAUGGGUCAGCGACUUAUAUUCAGUGGCAAGGUUAACCGUAUAGGGGAGCCGUAGCGAAAGCGAGUCUUAACUGGGCGCUCAGUCUCUGGAUAUAGACCCGAAACCGGGUGAUCUAGCCAUGGGCAGGUUGAAGGUUGAGUAACAUCAACUGGAGGACCGAACCGACUAAUGUUGAAAAAUUAGCGGAUGACUUGUGGCUAGGGGUGAAAGGCCAAUCAAACUCGGAGAUAGCUGGUUCUCCCCGAAAGCUAUUUAGGUAGCGCCUCGGACGAAUACUACUGGGGGUAGAGCACUGUUAAGGCUAGGGGGUCAUCCCGACUUACCAACCCUUUGCAAACUCCGAAUACCAGUAAGUACUAUCCGGGAGACACACGGCGGGUGCUAACGUCCGUCGUGGAGAGGGAAACAACCCAGACCGCCAGCUAAGGUCCCAAAGUAUUGCUAAGUGGGAAACGAUGUGGGAAGGCUCAGACAGCUAGGAUGUUGGCUUAGAAGCAGCCAUCAUUUAAAGAAAGCGUAAUAGCUCACUAGUCGAGUCGGCCUGCGCGGAAGAUGUAACGGGGCUAAGCAAUACACCGAAGCUGCGGCAAUGCCUUUUAGGUAUUGGGUAGGGGAGCGUUCUGUAAGCCGUUGAAGGUGAAUCGUAAGGUUUGCUGGAGGUAUCAGAAGUGCGAAUGCUGACAUGAGUAACGACAAAGGGGGUGAAAAACCUCCUCGCCGGAAGACCAAGGGUUCCUGUCCAACGUUAAUCGGGGCAGGGUGAGUCGACCCCUAAGGUGAGGCCGAAAGGCGUAAUCGAUGGGAAACGGGUUAAUAUUCCCGUACUUCUGACUAUUGCGAUGGGGGGACGGAGAAGGCUAGGUGGGCCAGGCGACGGUUGUCCUGGUUCAAGUGCGUAGGCUUAAGAGUUAGGUAAAUCCGGCUCUUUCUAAGGCUGAGACACGACGUCGAGCUGCUACGGCAGUGAAGUCAUUGAUGCCAUGCUUCCAGGAAAAGCCUCUAAGCUUCAGAUAGUCAGGAAUCGUACCCCAAACCGACACAGGUGGUCGGGUAGAGAAUACCAAGGCGCUUGAGAGAACUCGGGUGAAGGAACUAGGCAAAAUGGUACCGUAACUUCGGGAGAAGGUACGCUCUUGAUGGUGAAGUCCCUUGCGGAUGGAGCUGACGAGAGUCGCAGAUACCAGGUGGCUGCAACUGUUUAUUAAAAACACAGCACUGUGCAAAAUCGCAAGAUGACGUAUACGGUGUGACGCCUGCCCGGUGCCGGAAGGUUAAUUGAUGGGGUUAGCGCAAGCGAAGCUCUUGAUCGAAGCCCCGGUAAACGGCGGCCGUAACUAUAACGGUCCUAAGGUAGCGAAAUUCCUUGUCGGGUAAGUUCCGACCUGCACGAAUGGCGUAAUGAUGGCCACGCUGUCUCCACCCGAGACUCAGUGAAAUUGAAAUCGCUGUGAAGAUGCAGUGUACCCGCGGCUAGACGGAAAGACCCCGUGAACCUUUACUACAGCUUGGCACUGAACAUUGAACCUACAUGUGUAGGAUAGGUGGGAGGCUAUGAAGACGUGACGCUAGUUGCGUUGGAGCCGUCCUUGAAAUACCACCCUUGUAUGUUUGAUGUUCUAACUUAGCCCCAUUAUCUGGGGUGAGGACAGUGCCUGGUGGGUAGUUUGACUGGGGCGGUCUCCUCCCAAAGAGUAACGGAGGAGCACGAAGGUGGGCUAAUCACGGUUGGACAUCGUGAGGUUAGUGCAAUGGCAUAAGCCCGCUUAACUGCGAGAAUGACGGUUCGAGCAGGUGCGAAAGCAGGUCAUAGUGAUCCGGUGGUUCUGUAUGGAAGGGCCAUCGCUCAACGGAUAAAAGGUACUCCGGGGAUAACAGGCUGAUACCGCCCAAGAGUUCAUAUCGACGGCGGUGUUUGGCACCUCGAUGUCGGCUCAUCACAUCCUGGGGCUGAAGUCGGUCCCAAGGGUAUGGCUGUUCGCCAUUUAAAGUGGUACGCGAGCUGGGUUUAGAACGUCGUGAGACAGUUCGGUCCCUAUCUGCCGUGGGCGUUGGAAGAUUGAAGGGGGCUGCUCCUAGUACGAGAGGACCGGAGUGGACGAACCUCUGGUGUUCGGGUUGUGUCGCCAGACGCAUUGCCCGGUAGCUAAGUUCGGAAUUGAUAAGCGCUGAAAGCAUCUAAGCGCGAAGCGAGCCCUGAGAUGAGUCUUCCCUGAUACUUUAAGUAUCCUAAAGGGUUGUUCGAGACUAGAACGUUGAUAGGCAGGGUGUGUAAGCGUUGUGAGGCGUUGAGCUAACCUGUACUAAUUGCCCGUGAGGCUUAACCA